AACGAACGCUGGCGGCAUGCCUAACACAUGCAAGUCGAACGAGACCUUCGGGCCUAGUGGCGCACGGGUGCGUAACGCGUGGGAACCUGCCCUUAGGUUCGGAAUAACUCCCCGAAAGGGGUCCUAAUACCGGAUAAUGUCUUCGGACCAAAGAUUUAUCGCCUUUGGAUGGGCCCGCGUUGGAUUAGCUAGUUGGUAGGGUAAAAGCCUACCAAGGCGACGAUCCAUAGCUGGUCUGAGAGGAUGAUCAGCCACACUGGGACUGAGACACGGCCCAGACUCCUACGGGAGGCAGCAGUGGGGAAUAUUGGACAAUGGGCGAAAGCCUGAUCCAGCAAUGCCGCGUGAGUGAUGAAGGCCUUAGGGUUGUAAAGCUCUUUUACCCGGGAUGAUAAUGACAGUACCGGGAGAAUAAGCGCCGGCUAACUCCGUG
rnacentral:rRNA from 1 species